rnacentral:lncRNA from 1 species
CUGUAUGCCAUACCAGUAUCUCCACACUUCUUAGUUAAGAAGACAACCAACCCAUAUGACACACAACAACCUAUACUCGAUAAAUGUUAUUGUCUUUGUUAAUAACAUAUCAUUUGAUCCCAAACCAAUUUAAGAACUAUUCGAUAAAUCUUCUUUUAUCGAUUAUAUUAUAGUUCUAAGAACUUCAUUAUAACACAAG